rnacentral:rRNA from 1 species
CACGUAGGGGGCAAGCGUUGUCCGGAUUUAUUGGGCGUAAAGAGCGUGUAGGCGGCCAGGUAGGUCUGCUGUGAAAACUCGAGGCUCAACCUCGAGACGUCGGCGGAAACCAUCUGGCUAGAGUCCGGAAGAGGAGACUGGAAUUCCUGGUGUAGCGGUGAAAUGCGCAGAUAUCAGGAGGAACACCAAUGGCGAAGGCAGCUCGCUGGGACGUGACUGACGCUGAGACGCGAAAGCGUGGGGAGCAAACAGG